GUUGGUGGAGUGAUUUGUCUGGUUAAUUCCGUUAACGAACGAGACCUCAGCCUGCUAACUAGUAGUAUCUAUCCUUUGGUCGCAGCCGGCCGUUGUACUAUGCGGUUUCGGCGCCGUUGCUCUCCGCCUUGUUGCGUGAGGCGCGGUGCCGGCCGUUCAGCGGCCUGGCGGGCCUUUCUGGAUAGGUUCAGCUGUCCGGGCUAGUUCCUGGGCGGCAUUUCGACUUCUUAGAGGGACUAUCUGUGUGUAGCAGAUGGAAGUUUGAGGCAAUAACAGGU
rnacentral:rRNA from 1 species